AGGAUUUGAUAGCGACAGUGGAUAGACAGUCCUUCUCAAGUCCUCGGUACCCUCUAAAUGGACCUCCCCCUGGUACAAUUUGCGAAUAUCGAAUUCAGGCGGAGGAUCCAUCCCAGAGGGUCAAACUCAUAAUGUACAGGUUUAGUGUACACGAGCCGAGCUAUUUCCGCAUUAACCUGAGCGGCGACAAAUUGUUCAGCGAAUCGACUGUGGUCAGGGAGGUGUCUCCGGCGUCCGCCACGUACUACGUCUCCGAGGGCGACGUCAUGAGGAUCUUCUUCUACGGCGAGUCCAACACGCGGGGCUUCAAGCUCAGAUACAAAAUGGUUCCGUAGAAAGCUACAGACCCUCGCCAGGGCGCCAUUUAUCUACACACAUAAACACACACACACAAACACACACACAAACAUACACACACGCACAAAAACACAAACACAAACACAAACACAAACACA